rnacentral:lncRNA from 1 species
UAAUAGAUAGUCUCAUUACAGUAUGACCACUCAUCUUACUUAUCAACACAUAUAACUAAGUCAAUAAUAAAUUUGGUUUAAGAAUUUGAGUUUGUGAUGGCACAUGCUUAGGUAAACUAUAUGGCUAUAAUCAAACAUAUUUUUCCUUGUCAGACAGGGAUGAAACAUAUAGCUCCAGCAUAUUUUAUCAGCAAUUAUAUAUGACUUUGAAUUUUCUUGAAUAAAAAUCAGUAACCAGAUAUUGUUACCUAUGGCUCAGACAAUUUCAUAAUCUUUUUCUCCUCCUUGAGAAUUCUUGUCCUAAAAUUCAUCAUAAAAGUUAGGAAAGAUAAGCCACUGGAUAUUUUUGCAAAUCUUUGUCUUCACAUGGAUCUCUAUAGCUCCAGCUAAUUUCUCACAAGAUCAAUGGUCUCUAACAUGACUAAUAGAACUUAACAGUUACACAGAGCGCUGCCUCAUUCUGCUAAUUUACAUUCAGUCUCCAAAAAAGGCAUAUUCCCACCGCAAAACUACAGUAAUUCUUUGGAUUGUAACAAUACAUUCUGAGAUGACAAGAAGUGGCUAAAAGAAUAAGACCCUGUAGUCUAACAAGAUUGUGAUAAUUUUCCCAAAUACAUAUGUUCUCUUUGUGUAAUUGAAGAAUUAGAGUGCUAGAGGUAUCUUGAAUUAAAUAGUAAAUUUGCAGGGUAAGAUAAUUGAUGUGGUUUGAAUGUGUCCCCCAAAAUUUAAUGCAUUAAAAACUUGGGUGCCAUUGUAACAUAUUAAGAGGCAGGGCCUUUGGAAGGUGAUUGGGCCAUGAGGGCACCACCUUCAAAAAGUGACUGAUGCCCUUAUUGCUAGAAUGAGAAAUCAAAAGUACAAUGAGAUACCAUCUCACACCAGUUAGAAUGG